rnacentral:rRNA from 1 species
AACGACUGCUAAUACCGGAUGUGCCGAGAGGUGAAAGAUUUAUUGCCUGGAGAUGAGCUCGCGUCUGAUUAGCUAGUUGGUGGUGUAAGGGACCACCAAGGCGUCGAUCAGUAGCUGGUCUGAGAGGAUGAUCAGCCACACUGGGACUGAGACACGGCCCAGACUCCUACGGGAGGCAGCAGUGGGGAAUUUUCCGCAAUGGGCGAAAGUUUGACGGAGCAAUACCGCGUGAGGGAGGAAGGCUCUUGGGUCGUAAACCUCUUUUCUCAAGGAAGAAUGAAAUGACGGUACUUGAGGAAUAAGCAUCGGCUAACUCCGUGCCAGCAGCCGCGGUAAUACGGAGGAUGCAAGCGUUAUCCGGAAUGAUUGGGCGUAAAGGGUCUGCAGGUGGUACUGAAAGUCUGCUGUUAAAGAGCAAGGCUUAACCAAAUAAAAGCAGUGGAAACUACAGAACUGGAGUGCGGUAGGGGCAAAAGGAAUUCCUGGUGUAGCGGUGAAAUGCGUAGAUAUCAGGAAGAACACCGGUGGCGAAAGCGUUUUGCUAGACCGUAACUGACACUGAGGGACGAAAGCUAGGGGAAA